GAAAGUAAAAAAGGGCGCAUGGCGGAUGCCUUGGCUCUCGGAGGCGAUGAAGGACGUGAUAAGCUGCGAUAAGCUUUGGGGAGGUGCAAAUGACCUUUGAUCCAGAGAUUUCCGAAUGGGACAACCCAAUAUCUUGAAGAGGUAUUAUCUUACUAUGUAAGAGGCUAACGCAGGGAACUGAAACAUCUUAGUACCUGCAGGAAAAGAAAAUAAACAAUGAUUCCCCCAGUAGUGGCGAGCGAACGGGGAACAGCCCAAACCAUCCAUGUUACGGCAUGGGUGGGGUUGUAGGACUACGCCGUUGCAUGAAGACAUCAGAGAAGAACUUUCUGGAAAGAAAGACCAUAGAGCAUGACAGUUGCGUAUUCGAAUGUUGUCGAAGCAUAGUAGUAUCCUGAGUAGCGCGGAGCACGAGGAAUUCUGCGUGAAUCUGCCGGGACCAUCCGGUAAGGCUAAAUACUCCCGAGAGACCGAUAGCGAACCAGUACCGUGAGGGAAAGGUGAAAAGCACUUCGAACAGAAGAGUGAAAUAGUUCCUGAAACCGUGCGCCUACAAGCGGUCGGAGCUCGUUAAUGAGUGACGGCGUGCCUUUUGCAUAAUGAACCUACGAGUUGCCUUUGCCGGCAAGGUUAAGUGUGACGACACACGUAUCCGAAGCGAAAGCGAGUCUGAACAGGGCGUAUAGUCGGCAGUGGCAGACGCGAAACCAAGUGAUCUACCCUUGGCCAGGUUGAAGGCUGGGUAACACCAGCUGGAGGACCGCACCAAUAAGCGUUGAAAAGCUUCUGGAUGAGCUGAGGGUAGGGGUGAAAGGCUAAUCAAACUUGGAGAUAGCUCGUACUCCCCGAAAUGCAUUUAGGUGCAGCCUUGCGGGUUACUGAUGUGAGGUAGAGCGACUGAUAAGAUGCGAGGGCUUCACCGCCUAUCAAGUCUUGACAAACUCCGAAUGCGCAUCAGUUCUACCGCAGGAGUGAGGGCAUGGGUGCUAAGGUCCGUGCCCGAGAGGAGAAGAAUCCGGACCACCUGCUAAGGUCCCGAAAUGACAGCUAAGUUAAACUAACGAAGUCUGACUGCUAAGACAGCUAGGAUGUUGGCUUGGAAGCAGCCAUUCAUUUAAAGAGUGCGUAACAGCUCACUAGUCGAGGAGUCGGGCGUGGAUAAUAAUCGGGUAUUAAGUUGUCUACCGAAGCAGUGGGAUCAUUUAUAUGAUCGGUAGGGGAGCAUUCCAGUCAGCGUCGAAGGCGUACCGUGAGGUAUUCUGGAGCGUCUGGAAAAGCAAAUGUAGGUAUAAGUAACGAUAAAGGGGGCGGGAAACCCCCUCGCCGAAAGACUAAGGUUUCCUGAUCAACGCUAAUCGGAUCAGGGUCAGUCGGGUCCUAAGGCUCAGCCGAACGGCGAUGCCGAUGGCAGAAACGGUUAAUAUUCCGUUACUACCUUCAGGAGUGACGUGGAGACGCAGUAGUGACAGUGCCGCCAUCUGACGGAAUAGAUGGUUGAAGGGUGUAGGAGUCGAUCAUGGCAGGCAAAUCCACCAUGAGAUCCGAACCUGACAGUAUGCCGCGUCCUUCGGGACAAGGCAAUAGUGCGCGUAAGCAUGCUGCCGAGAAAAUCCGCUAAACUUAAUCCUGCAGGUACCCGUACCGCAAACGGACACACGUAGUCGGGAUGAAUAUUCUAAGGCGCUUGAGUGAUUCACGGUUAAGGAACUAGGCAAACUGACCCUGUAACUUCGGGAUAAAGGGUCCCUACCCUUUUAUGGGAGGGCGCAGAGAAUCGGUCCAGGCAACUGUUUAACAAAAACACAGGGCUGUGCCAAAUCGAAAGAUCCAGUAUACAGCCUGACACCUGCCCGGUGCUGGAAGGUUAAGAGGAGAUGUCAUCGAUAAGAGAAGCGUUGAAUUGAAGCCCCAGUAAACGGCGGCCGUAACUAUAACGGUCCUAAGGUAGCGAAAUUCCUUGUCGGGUAAGUUCCGACCUGCACGAAUGGUGUAAUGAUCUGGACGCUGUCUCAACCGUGAGCU
rnacentral:rRNA from 1 species